GGGCGCGUAGUCCAGCGGUUAAGACGUCUCCCUGACACGGAGAAGAUCCCCAGUUCAAAUCUGGGCGCGCCCA
rnacentral:tRNA from 2 species